rnacentral:rRNA from 1 species
UACAGGGGGUGCAAACGUUGCUCGGAAUCAUUGGGCGUAAAGCGCACGUAGGCGGCUUGUCGCGUCGGCUGUGAAAACCCGCGGCUCAACUGUGGGCGGGCAGCUGAUACGGGCAGGCUGGAGUUCGGUAGGGGAGACUGGAAUUCCUGGUGUAGCGGUGAAAUGCGCAGAUAUCAGGAGGAACACCGGUGGCGAAGGCGGGUCUCUGGGCCGAUACUGACGCUGAGGAGCGAAAGCGUGGGGAGCGAACAGG